UACGUAGGGCGCAAGCGUUGUCCGGAAUUAUUGGGCGUAAAGAGCUUGUAGGCGGUUUGUCGCGUCUGCCGUGAAAUUUCGAGGCUCAACCCCGGACUUGCAGUGGGUACGGGCAGACUAGAGUGUGGUAGGGGAGACUGGAAUUCCUGGUGUAGCGGUGAAAUGCGCAGAUAUCAGGAGGAACACCGAUGGCGAAGGCAGGUCUCUGGGCCACUACUGACGCUGAGAAGCGAAAGCAUGGGGAGCGAACAGG
rnacentral:rRNA from 1 species